UCUCUCUUCUCUUUUCUCAGUUUCCUUUUCUCUCAAUUGCUUCUCAUUCAUCAAUGGUAGAUUAGAUAAUCAAAAGUUUACAUGGUAUCAGAGCAGCAAUUACAGUGAAUGUUUACAGAGAUAAUACACCACCAUUGCUGAAGCUCGAGAAGAAUUGAAGGCAUGGUUACUUCAGAGACAUCGAGGGAAGAAGCUACACAGAUUUUGAAAUUAGAUUACACGCAUCCAUUGUUCUUACAACAAUCAGACACACCAGGAGUUGUAUUGAUUUAUUUGAAAUUAACAGGACCAGAAAAUUACAUACUAUGGAGUAGAUCGAUGGGACUAGCUUUGCUUGGAAAGAGAAAGUUAGUUUUUGUAGAUGGAAGUUGCACACGAAAUCUAUACAAAGGAGAAUUGGCAAAGCAGUGGGAUAGAUGUAAUGCAUUUGUAUUGUCAUGGAUCAGUAGAAUAGUUGCACCAGAAUUAGUGUCUAGCAUAGUUUUGGCUUCGACUGCAAAGAGAGUAUGGGAUGAGUUUAAGGAGAGAUUUCACAUGUCAAAUCUUAUCAGAAUCUAUCAAUUAUGGAGAGAAAUUGCUAUGCAAACACAAGGUACAAAUUCAAUUAUAAUUUACUAUUCAAAGUUGAAGGAUUACUGGAUGAAUUGGAUUUGUUGGCUCCUUAUCCUCCUACAUGUGAGUGUGUAGAAUCAAGUGCAUAUGUCAUGCAUUUGAACAACCAGAGAUUGCUGCAAUUCCUCAUGGGAUUGAAUGAAAGUUAUGGUCAUGUGAGAAGUGAUAUCCUUCUUAAAACACCAGUCUUAAGUGUUAAUCGCUUAUUUUGUGGUAGUGCAAGAGGAAAUUCAGAGGAGGUUAGGUAUAGUUGAUGUCAAUUGAGACUCCUUGAGCAUGCUGGCUUGGAGAGAUAAUAAUUUUAGACUUAGAAAGCCUACGACCAGUGGAACAAUAGGGACCAUUCCUGGAAUAAUAUGUGAUCAUUAUGGUUACAAGGGACAUCUGAAAAAGAAUUAUUAUAGAUUGGUUGGGUAUCCACCUGAUUUUAAGAGUAAGAAGCAUUUAGGAACAUAAAGAGGGAAGAACAUAAGGAGGGAAGAACAAUGCAGCAGGACAACAAAAAUUUCCACAUGCACAUCAUGCUGAUGUGGAGGGAGGUGAAUCUGGCUCAGGAUCAAUAGCAGGACACCAUCUUUCUGAGGAAUAGUACUAAUACUACAUGAGCUUAAAAGGCAAAGAACAAGUUCAGGAUUCUACAGGUGAUUAUCACUGCAAUUUUGCAGGAACUUUACAAUGGCAAGGUGAUGGGGAUUGAUAGAGAGUAUGAUGGACUAUAUUGGCUACAAGAAGAUGAAUCAAUAAAGGUAGAAACAGUAAUAGUAGAUCAGCCAGAUUCAGUGUUAUGGAACAACAGGCCUGGCCAUCCUUCUAUGGAAAUAAUAAAUAGUAUUGCUGAUUUGAAUGUUAAAAUGUGUAAAGAAGCACAACAACAUUGUAUAGUAUGUCCUAUCGCUAAGCAACACAGGCUCAAGUUUCCACUUAGUUUUUCUUCAACCAAUAGUUAUUUUCAGUUAAUUCA